rnacentral:rRNA from 1 species
AGUGAACGCUGGCGGUAGGCCUAACACAUGCGAGUCGAACGGCAGCACAGUAAGAGCUUGCUCUUACGGGUGGCGAGUGGCGGACGGGUGAGGAAUACAUCGGAAUCUACUUUUUCGUGGGGGAUAACGUAGGGAAACUUACGCUAAUACCGCAUACGACCUACGGGUGAAAGCAGGGGAUCUUCGGACCUUGCGCGAUUGAAUGAGCCGAUGUCGGAUUAGCUAGUUGGCGGGGUAAAGGCCCACCAAGGCGACGAUCCGUAGCUGGUCUGAGAGGAUGAUCAGCCACACUGGAACUGAGACACGGUCCAGACACCUACGGGAGGCAGCAGUGGGGAAUAUUGGACAAUGGGCGCAAGCCUGAUCCAGCCAUACCGCGUGGGUGAAGAAGGCCUUCGGGUUGUAAAGCCCUUUUGUUGGGAAAGAAAAGCAGCAGGUUAAGACCCCGCUGUUCGGACGGUACCCAAAGAAUAAGCACCGGCUAACUUCGG